UUAAAACUUCAAGGCAGGGUGUAAGUCCCUACCGGCGGUAAAGCCCGCAAGCCGAAAGGUAUGAUCUGGUGAGAUUCCAGAGCCGACAGUAUAGUCUGGAUGAGAGAAGGAUUAA
rnacentral:ncRNA from 1 species